rnacentral:lncRNA from 1 species
ACAAAUUUCAAUAUAAUCGUAAUACAUAUGAACCAAAUCCCAGAUCCAUUCAAAUAAUGGAAAUGCAGCGGUACAUGUGCUGAAUUUUAGUGAAACUAAUUCCAUAUUCUUAGGAAUUAUUCUACUCCCUCCGUUACUGCUUUCUAUAAACUACCAAAACGUCUUAUUAUAUUUAAAAACAGAGGUAGCAAAGUAACUCCAAAUUCAGCUGAAUCGGUGGUACAAACAGCUGCAGUACGAAUACGGAGGUGACAGCAUGUAACUGACCAAACAGACACGGCGCCUGACCCGUGCCACCAUGACCCAACUCACUAGCACAGUGACGCCGGGGAAUACUGUAGAUCAGACUCCACGACAUUUGACUUAGAUGUCAUCACUCAUCAGGAACCAGCUCGCUCAAUGCUAGUCGGAGGCUUCAUCAGAAGAAGAAUCCGCGGGAGAGGCGGCUUUGGGAAUGCCAAGCGGUGUCUCGUCAGACCCCAGCAGGCACCUGGGGUGCAAGUUGACCCCACAGGGACUGCACCUGUAGCUCCAGGAGCAGUCAGUGCUACAGUACAUGCACUUCGUUGCCUCUGCCAUGGUUAGGGUGAGGACGACGAGAUGCUCCGGGUGCAACGGCGAGACGGCCACGGCUGGCAGCUGGGAGCAGACAGGGUGCACGUCGAAGUCGGUCGCGCGGCAGCGGUAGUGCAUGCCGUGGAUGCGCGUCUCGCACAGGUCGCAGACGCGGCCAUAGUCGGAGGCCACGGCCGGCUCGAACGUCAGCGGGUGCUGCCCGUGGAAAGGAAGGAGCGCGGUCGGCGGGCACGUCGCGCAGAACUCGUGCAGGUUGAAGUCGCAGGCGUCGCAGCGGUAGCGGAAACCUGCUCCGUUGCAGCCGCAGCCAUUGCAGCGGAAGUCGGAGCCGGCGACGCCGCGGAGCACCCUGGGCGUCGUGGAGGAUCUGCUUCGGCAUUAUGAGUGCAUUUCCAGCUGGGAAUGGGACGAGAUGCCGAGGCAAUUGCGAGUGUUUAUAUACUGUAGAGAUCAUCGGUGGACUGGUGGGUAAAUAACUCUGUUCCAGGAAUUCUAGGAGGCGGGAUGGAAUACGAGCAGACACACGUAUACUAGCAAUAAUUUUCCAAAAAGAAAACGCACCAGCAAUAAACUAGGAGCCAGAAUUCUAGGAGGUGGAAGGAGGUCCGGUGGAGCAGACUCGUGUGUCCUUUCGGCUAGCUGCACCGACCAUCUACACCCUGCCUCCUCAAAUCCUCCUCGGACACCCCGUCAGUGACCGAAUAAAAAGAGAAGGAAAAAAAAUGACCCGAUCAAACCCUUUAUAUCCUUUCUAUAUAUGUGGAUUAUCCGCAAACCCUCGUACUCCCUCUGUCUAGGUGUGCGAGUCAUCUUACGAAAAUCAAAUAAUUCCAGAACACUUAUGCGCGGUGCACUAACUUCUACCUCGUUUCUUGUUUCUUGACAUAUCAACCAAUAAGAGAUGAGGGGUGGGCAUGCUUUUAAUGACUUGAGACUACCAAACACGAUAUGCAGUGGUUAAUUCAUUGCAUGCAGUGCUAUUAAUUAGCAAAUAAACAUUAAGGUCUCUCGUUUUCCCCUCCACCUUGGUCACGGUGCACAACGUAAGAUGACUUACUCACCUAGAGGAAGGGAGUAUUGAGAUCAGAUGUAAACAGGAUAUGAGAGCUCGCGGAUGCGCCCGGUCAAUCCGCCACAUAGGACGCGGCUCGUCGAGAUCCAAAACCAUGCCGGGUCUGACCUCGUUCAUGGCGGAGGGGAAGAGGAGGGUGGAGGAGGAGGGUUCGUCCUCGUUCAUGCCGGAGGGGAAGUGGAGCGUGGAGGAGGAGGGUGCGACCUCCUUCAUGGCGGAGGGGAAGACGAGGAUGGAGGAGGAGGGUGUGUCCUCGUUCAUGGCGGAGGGGAAGAGGAGAGAUAUUCGAAUGGGAAGCACGAGAGCAGAGGCGUCGAUCCGGGCAAUAAAGCGGUGAGUGGGCCAAGACAGUUGUAGGCGCAUGUCAAUUCAUGUCGUGAACAGUGGUCUAUCAUGGCCCGCCCAGAGUUAGGCUUUCGUAGACUUUCAGCCAGAAGAUUAAGGAUUAAUUGUUCAGAGCCAACUGUUGUGUGCACAAAUCUCAAUAAAACAUGGGUGUGAAUGGAAGGCUGAGAUAGAGGGUACCGCGUAGCCCCAGCUACGAAAAACCCGCUCUAAUCAUCAUAAAAGAUGGUCCUUUAUCCAAUUCAAGUAACAGUUCAUCGACUUUAUUUCAAUGGCAUAUGUUCUCAUUGGUUACCUGAAAUCGAUCCUGAAAUCACUUAUAAAGAUCGAUUUCAUCAUAUUUUGUAUUGUCAUUAGUGAUUUAACUGGCUCAAGCUGUCGGUAUCAGUCGAAUAAGGUCCUAUAAAUAUUUUAAGCAAUUACCUCUACAUAUCUUUGCCAGACUAAGUUCGAUGCAAAAGAAUGCACGUUUUGCUGAAUGUCUUGCAGAUUUUUAGUCAAUUAAAUACAUGGUUAUACAGAUGUAUGUUCGGUAUAAUUGUUUGUAGUUCUACGAUCCCUAUCCGUUGUGGUUUGGAAAGUUAUAAAAAAUAGGUACAAUGAAAUUCCCUUAAUCGAGCUUUCUGUCAAACUUUUCAUGUCACUAAAGGUUCAGAAAUGAUGCUUGUCUAGAGGAAGAUAGUAGCAUGGCUUGUACAUUAGGUCUGUAGGAACACACGAGGUAUAAUUUGGGAGCAUAUGGAUAUUCUCCGUCGUCACUGAUCUUAAUUCCGAAACGUUGCUCACUGAUCGUCAGAUUAAAAGUGGCAGUACUUAUCACAUUUUUAUUAUUUUAGCUGACGAUGUAACAUGAAAAAAAAAUUGUAGUACUUGUCUGGAAGAUUAAUUUGCUCUUACAUCUGAAGUGGCAAUUUCUCUUACGUUGUGUUGUAGCUUGGCACUGGUUAGUUUGGUUCGUUAAACCCAAGUACAGUAUGAAACUUUGUUGCCAACUUUGAAAGCCCAUACUGGAUUCCGAUCACAUUGGUUUAACUUUUAUCAUUUUGGUUGUGUGCAGUUUUUAACAUUUCAGUUCUGUUGUGCUUGAGGUAGAGGCGCUGAUUAUUUGUUCUAUGGACUUUUUUGUUGUGUUCAGUUGCGUGCGUGACAAAGUGUAGUUUUCAGUAGCAUGACUGUUAAUUACUAAUUGCUAUGGCAUUCUUAUUUUCUGAUACAUCUAAACCGUCCAAUGUGAUUUGCUUCACUGAAGGGUAAUAUGGAUGAAGAACUAAGAGGAGCAUUUGGUCAAAUGAUUCAGGUAGGAAACUGGUUUUCGCAAAUGCCCAAAUCGUGGUAAACAUAGUAAAGGUAAGUUAAGAGUUUUUCAGUUACAUAAAAAAUAAAGACUGUAUAUUUAUGGUGAGUGAUGCGGGAAAUGGACUCUCUACUUCAGUUACAUGUUGUAGAUAAUGAGAAGGGUUUGUUUUCUAGAAUCAUUAUAAAUGUGAUACAGAUUCUGGCAUAACCUUGAGUAAAUUGCAUAAAACCACCACUUCGAGGGCUAGGUUUUUGAAAAACACUAGGAUACAUUUUCGCUGCAGAAAACACCACAUCUCGCGUAAUGGUCUUGCAAAAACCACUGAUCGGCGGAUCUGGCUCGUUUAAGCGCGUUUAUGACAGAUGGGUCCCACUUUUCGCUGACGUGACAUAACGUUUUACCCAAAAAAAUGCUAGAUGCGUAAAAAAGCGAAAACCCCCUCAACAAUUUUCUCCUGUGCUGCCCAGGGCCUUCCUUGUCCGGCGACCACAGUCAGCCGCCACCGCACUCCCGUCCCGGCCGUGCGCGCCCCUCCCGGCCUGCCGCGCGUGCCCCUGCGCCGCCGCGCUCACCUCCUGUCCGGUCGCCCGCGCUCCAGGCUGGUUGCGNNNNNNNNNNNNNNNNNNNNNNNNNNNNNNNNNNNNNNNNNNNNNNNNNNNNNNNNNNNNNNNNNNNNNNNNNNNNNNNNNNNNNNNNNNNNNNNNNNNNNNNNNNNNNNNNNNNNNNNNNNNNNNNNNNNNNNNNNNNNNNNNNNNNNNNNNNNNNNNNNNNNNNNNNNNNNNNNNNNNNNNNNNNNNNNNNNNNNNNNNNNNNNNNNNNNNNNNNNNNNNNNNNNNNNNNNNNNNNNNNNNNNNNNNNNNNNNNNNNNNNNNNNNNNNNNNNNNNNNNNNNNNNNNNNNNNNNNNNNNNNNNNNNNNNNNNNNNNNNNNNNNNNNNNNNNNNNNNNNNNNNNNNNNNNNNNNNNNNNNNUGCCCGACCACGCCCGCCUCUGCCCGGCCGUGCGCCCGCCUCUGCUAGCCUGCACCCGCUGCCAUGCUAGCCGCGCCACCCCCGCCCUGCUCCGCCCGCGCUCGCCGCUCUACAAGCCACUGUCGUCCCGCACUGCUUCCCCAUCUCCCUAGAUCGAUCUCGAGCUCGGGAGGACGGCGGCCGUGGCGGGAAUACGAGGGGGGUGCUGGAGCUCCGUCGCUGCUGCUUGCUCCGGUGGGCGGCUGCAGGCCCUCGCCGGCGGGGGAAAGAGAGCAGAGGGAGGAAGGAGACGGGAAGAAGGGGAGGGAGCUGAUUGCUUUUUUCUAUUUGAUUUAGGGGUGUCUGUGCAAAAUAUAUGGACUAGUUUGUAAAUUUAGACUAAAAUUGAUCUAGCACAAAAUGUUACGCCACAUAGGCAAAAAAGGGGCUCAUCUGUCAUAAUCUCACAUAACAGAGCCAGAUAUGCCGAUCAGUGGUUUUUGCAAGACCAUUACGAGAGAUGUGGUAUUUUCUGCAGCGAAAAUGUAUCCUAGUGUUUCUCACAGACCUAGCCCUCAAAGUGGUGGUUUUAUGCAAUUUACUCCAUAACCUUUGAUUGGCUACAAUUUAUGUGGAAGAUACAAUGCAGAAGCAUGAUAUGAAUGUAUGCCAACUCAACAAAACUAAAGGUUGCUCUAUGAAUCAUUGUUUAAAGUGAUUCAAUAUCAGUUCAUCAGUUCAUCGCUUAAGAUCAUUGCACCAUCAAGCAUCGUCGGUAGCUCCUUCAUGCUCCUGCUUGCACCGUUCUUCUCCCGCGCCAUUCCACCAAGUUUGUUGCACUUGUUGGCACCCCAUCCCGGCUUGUUCAAAGCCAUACAAACAAUACUCCUCACCUUCCUUGCCAUGACGCAGUUCAAGAGAAUAUGUCCAAUGGUCUCUUCCUGAGCGCAGAAGGGAAAAACAUCAUGGUGAUCAAGGCCAUGGCGGGCCAACCGGUCCGCCAUCCAACAUCUACUCUGAACAGCUAGCCAUGUGAAGAACCGACGACGAAUCAAAGCCCUGGAUGACCACGUGAAGACGGCCGUCGGCGACACUUCCCUGCCCCAAAACCUGGCCAUGUACGCAGACCGACAUGAGUACCUCCCAUCCAGCUCCCAGGCCCAACUAAUCACGUCCAUGACGUCCGGGUUUAGAUCCACACGGGUAACCUGUGCCCAAAGCUGAAUGUAGAAGAACUUCUUACUUACAUCUCAAUUUUCAUUGUGCCUAGAGGAUAAAUACUAAUAGUAUCUCCUUUGAUCUUUUGGUUGUCCCUCACACCAUGAAUGUUGCUACUGGGGUGAAGGAGAACAUCCAGCUCACGAGGGGGCUUCACAUGGUCGACGAUAUCCACUACCUUGAUUAUCGUGAGGCGCUCGUGUGGAAGUGCAAGAGGGACUACGAGGAAUCAAAGAAAUACAAGGAAUGGAAGUUCAAAUUUGAGAAGGCAACUAUUGAACAUUAGACUUGGUAGUAAAUAAAAAGUCAACGAUGUGUCAAAAUGCUAUUAUGGAGAUGUGAGCUGUGAUCCAUUCCUUUGUAUAUAGCAGUCACAUGUAAGUACCAGUUUGUUGGUUGCACCAUCUUAUUUUCCGUGCCAUAGUUUACACUUCUGUUUUCUGUGGAGAGACAAAAUUUUGUUAAAUUGUCUCGGAACAAUUUUUUGUUCAUAGCUGUUGGCUUAAGAAUGUUUGAUUUUUUUGCUAAACAUCAAAUUAAGAAAUGCCUCAAUUGCUUGUUGUAAUUUCCAUUGCUACCUUAUGUACUUAUGAUGUGUUUAAUGAUGAAAACAACUGUAUGGGCAUAUCUCUAUGAAACCAUAAAUACAUCAGGCCAUAUUUGGUUGUGUAUACUUCACUUGCUCGAGAAAAAAGGAAGCACUUUACGUGGCACAUGGCGUGCACUAUACGUGCACACUUACAAUUGGAAGAUUUUCGAGUUAAUUGCAGGAAACUACCACACUUCGGCACGUCGUAACGAAUCAGUACCAUUAGUCAUUUUUUUGCCGUGCAGUACCAGCUCAGAGCCUAAGUAUUGCAAAACGGUCUAAGCCACGUAUAAACGUGUACUGACGGUGUAUCUGAUCGCUGGGACCCGUGUGUCAGGGGCUAACGUGGCAUGCUCUUUUACAAAAAGAACCCUUACUUUUUAUUUAAUCAUGUAUAUAUCCUCUGUGUGUUAAAAAAAGGCCUUGCCACAAAACACACAUUUUUCAAAUUAAGAAAUGCAUCAAUUACUUGCUGUAAUUUCCAUUGCUACCUUGUGUAGUUGUGAUGUGUUUAAUGAUGAAAACAACUGUAUGGGCAUAUCUCUAUGAAACCAUAAAUACAUCAGGCCAUAUUUGGUUGUGUAUACUUCACUUGCUCGAGAAAAAAGGAAGCACUUUACGUGGCACAUGGCGUGCACUAUACGUGCACACUUACAAUUGAAAGAUUUUCGAGUUAAUUGCAGGGAACUAUCACACUUCGGCACGUCGUAACGAAUCAGUACCAUUAGUUAUUUUUUUUGCCGUGCAGUACCAACUCAGAGCCUAAGUAUUGCAUAACGGUCUAAGCCACGUAUAAACGUGUACUGAUGGUGUAUCUGAUCGCUGGGACCCGUGUGUCAGGGGCUGACGUGGCAUGCUCUUUUACAAAAAGAACCCUUACUUUUUAUUUAAUCACGUAUAUAUCCUCUGUGUGUUUAAAAAAGGCAUUGCCACGUCGUAACGAAUCAGUACCAUUAGUUAUUUUUUUUGUCGUGCAGUACCAGCACCAUUAGUUAUUUUUUUUGUCGUGCAGUACCAGCUCAGAACCUAAGUAUUGCAUAACGGUCUAAGCCACGUAUAAACGUGUACUGACGGUGUAUCUGAUCGCUGGGACCCGUGUGUCAGGGGCUGACGUGGCAUGCUCUUUUACAAAAAGAACCCUUACUUUUUAUUUAAUCACGUGUAUAUCCUCUGUGUGUUAAAAAAAGGCCUAGCCACAAAACACACAUUUUUCAGGAAAUAACAGCCCGCGCUCGUGCCGCCUGUGGUUCGAACUCGAGACAUGCCGUCAGAGGUGGAAGCUCGCUGCCGCUGCGCCACUACUCCUUUUGCGGUAACAAGCACGCGUAAUAUUUUCUGUACAUUGCGCCAUUCGGUUUUUUCUAGAAAGUAGAAAAUCGCGCGCCCGUCCGCCGGAAAUCUCGAUCCCGCGCUCGUUUGCUUGCGCAUCCUAUGCGUCAACGUACGCGUAUACGUCUUUAAACUCCGUGCCGUUCCAGUUUUUAUAUGAUACUAACAAAAAUAUUACUCCCUCCGUUCGGAAUUACUUGUCUCGGAAAUGAAUAUAUCUGGAACUAAAAUACGUCUAGAUACAUCCAUUUCUGCGACAAGUCAUUCUGAACUGAGAGAGUAUAUGACAUUAAAAAAGUUUGUCGCGCCGUAUAAUUGAAAAUAUGUUCAUUGCAUAAUAUAUUAAAAAGUUCAUCGUAUAUAUAUUGAACAUUUUAUAAUAUAUAAUGUCUGAAGAAUAAACCUGCUGGUCUCUACCUUAUUUUUGGUUGAUGUUAAAAAAAUUUAAAAUUACUCUGAAAGGUAAAUAAAGUGUUUGUGCAUUUGAAGAAAAAAAUGUUCAGAACAUUUUUGGGAAAUGUUGAACGCGUAUUUAAAAAUUGUAAAUGUAUUUUAUAAAAUGUUCGUCAUGCAUUAUAAAAUUUAUUACGAUUACACAAUAAUUUUUAGUACAUGUAUCAUUUUUUUUGAAUAACUGUGCAUUAAAAAAAUACAACAAAUAUAUACAGUAACUGUGAGUUGGGCAUAUAUUUUGUUUAAUUGUGUAUUUCAAAAAUAUAUUGAUGAUGCAUAAUAAUUGUGCAUUCGUGUGAUCCUGAGUGAAGACACAUAGAAUUUUCUUACAUUUGUGUUUUAAUCCACAUAAAUUUUAGAAAAAAGUUCAUGCUUGGCACUAAAUAGUACUAACCCACAUAAAAACUUGCCGUGCGUGGGUCUGGUGCUUUUCACUAAAUAGUACUAACAUAUAAUUCAAAAAAAAUUGAUAAAGAAUGUGCUGGCCUCAGAAAAAAAAUAUGCUGGCCUCACUGGGCCGUGAUUGGGCCGUCCUGCAGCCCAUGCUACGCUGGCUCGUCUACCUCGAGGGGAUCUGGGAAUCGGGGAUGAGACACACAGCGACGGGGUUCGAAUCCAGCGCCGGUUUCCCGUUCGGGCACCGGCGACCACGCCGCUGCGCGGCUCUCAACCCUCAUCGCCUAACACCAGAUCUGGGCGACGCCCACGCCGCCACCAUCUCCAACCUGUGCGUCCCACCAGCGUCGCCGACCACCACUGCCCUGGCGAGCUAGCAAAGAGGAGAGGAAAUAAAGGAGAAGGGAGAGGGGCACCGGUGCUCUGGCGAGCCAGCGACUGGUCUCCGGCGAGGGGAGGUCGGCAAGGUCGAGGUGACGGUGGACAGGGGAGGCGGCGGGGCUUUGAGUGAUUAAAUUUACAACAAGGGUGUUUUCUGCAAAAAAAUAUGCCAAGUUUGCUCCUGACACACGGGUCCCAACGGUCAAAUACAAUGUAAAUACGCGUUUAUGCAUGGCUUAGACCGUUUUGCAACACUUAGGCUCUGAGCUGGUACUGCAUGGCAAAAAAAUGACUAAUGGUACUGAUUCGUUACGACGUGCCGAAGUGGUAGUUCCAUGCAAUUAACUCAAGAUUUUCUGAAGUUUUACCAGGUACUAAUUGCAGUAGUUUUGAAAGAUUUUCUGAAGUUUUACCAGGUACUAAUUCCAGCAGUUUUGUUAGCAAUGUCUGCACUAAAUAUGAGUUGAGAACAUGACUUUCUUUUAGCUUGUCCAUAGUGGUUUCAAUUCCAACCUGACCAUCCUCAAAAGAUGUUCUUUUCUGAUGUUUUUCCAUGUCGAUUAGUUCUACACAUAAUGCAUAUAGAGACUAUUACCAUACGAUAUACUAAUUUAAAUUUGAAGAAAAAAUCUCACGAUUUUUGUGUUUAUAAUGGAGACGUGCAUUGCACGUGCAAGCUUACUUGUAUCUACAGUAAUUACCAAAAGUAAAUAACCUGCUAAUAGUCUGUAAUAUUUCUUCUUCAUUUUAUACUAAACGAGCACUGUAGCACCGUGACUUCCCUUCUCUAAGUUAGAGGAUCCAGCUCCCGAGAGUAUACUAUAAGAUUAAGUACAAUAUACUACAGUUGCAUCUCGAAGACUAGAAGUAAACUACGUAUGGAACUAUAAGACAUAUUAACAUGGCAUCUAAUUCAAACAAAUAAAUGUGUGAACACAACAGUGAAAACCAUCAGUAACUUGGACGAAUGAUUCAAAAUAUAUUCGGAUUUGAAAUUCCAAUUUCGCAGAAGCACAGACUUUUUUAUUUUACCGUUCACUGGGUGUAGAUGAGUGCAGGAACCGAAUUAAAUUUUCAAUUAAGUAGUCCACACGUAUGUCUAGCAUUUUUUCUAAACUCCCUAGUGAUGUAUAGUGUGCCACUUGCCGUCACCGGAGGCAACUAACUAGAGUUUACCUUGUAACUAAGGACCGCAAUAGUUGGCAAACGUUCGCUGAGAGGGGUCGACAUUUCCGAAAGUUUUAGAUGACAAGUUUUGUUGCAUGGGAUGGCAACUUCUUCACAAACGCAUGGCAUUUUGUGGGAGAAAGAACUUUUGCGCUAAAAACGACGGGAUUUGCCAUCUCCUACCAACUAAACUUGCCGUAAAAGAAUAUUUGCUUGCCAUCCCUUCCAGCUCACGUCCGCGAGAUCACAAGUCUCACAAAGAAAUAACGGAGGGGGUGAUCAACCAAAGUAGAUGUUGAUCUCAAAUACAUCUAGGAAGUGAUACGGAAGCAACAAUCAUGUAGCUGACCGACCAGACAGAAGCCACACGACAUGAGAUCGGAAGUUUUCAACAGACAUCACUGCUUCGACAAUCAAAUUAACCUGAUGCAUCACGCAUGCAUAACACGUCCACAAUGCAGUUGACAGCCUAUUUGCCUUUGGGAAUAUUUAGCGGCGUCUGCUCGGUCCCAAGCAAGCACCUGGGGUGCAAGUUGACCUCGCAGGGAACGCACCGGUAGCGCCACAGGCAGUCGGUGCUACAGCGCGUGCACUUCGCCGGCGCGGCCAUGGUGAGCACGAGGAGGUGCGCCGGGUGCAGGGGCGACAGUGCCGCGCUCGGCAGCUGGGAGCAGAUCGGGUGCACGUCGAAGUCGCAAGGACGGCAGCGGUAGUGCAUGCCCUUGAUGAGCGCGGCGCACAGGUCGCAUCUGCGCGGGUCCUCCGGGAACACGGUCCGCUCGAACGUGAGCGGGUGCUGGCCGUGGCCAUGGAAGGAGAAGGGCGCCGUCGGCUGGCAGGUCGCGCAGAGCUCGUGCAGGUCGAAGUCGCAGGCGGCGCAGCGAUAGCGGGCGCCUACGCCGUAGCAGUUGCAGCCGUCGCAGCGGAACCUGAAGCCGUCGUCGUGGAACACCAGGGGGUGCUCCUUGUGGGCGUCAUGGACGAUCUGCUUCGGCAUUAUGCGUGCGAGCUGGAGGUGAGGUACCCAGACGGGAGUCUUAUAUACAGAGAUCACCGGCCGGUAUGCCGACAUCUCCGUUCCCGAAAUUCUAGGAGGCGGGAUGGAAGGAAGAAUAUCAAACGCAAUAUAGGCGAGAUGACUCUACCGGAGUCCCAUCGUACAGCUGCAUUGCCGUGGCCGAUAGGAUUGUGAUCAUUUGAUCGUGGGAUGGACUCAUGGAAGAUUUGCACUAAUAGCGAAUUUUCUAUUAAUUUGAUUUUUUUUCGAACAGUAAUAAUUAUACAGUUCCGCAUUUGAGCGCCCGAUCAACCAAGGGCAAAGUAGUCUAAUACUCCCUCCGUAAAGACUAUUAUAUUUCUUUACAGAGGGAGUAGUAGUUUCCAUGUGCAGAACAGUAUUUUGGAAGCAAUUCUAUUCGAUAAUGGAAGUACUUAUGAAGCAAAUCUCGGAAUGAUUUCCUCUGAAUUUCAAGGAAACUAAUUCCGGAUUCUUAGGAUUUAUUCUAGCAAAGUAACUCCAAAUCGAGCUGAAUCGGCGCAAGCAGCUGCAGUACAAAUACAGAGGUGCCGAACAUGCAUGUAGCUGACCAAACAGACACGACGCAUGACCACAUGACCUAACUCACUGACACCAGGGCAUGCUGUAGAUUGGAGACCACGCCAUUUGAUUCUUUUUUUCUUUUCUUUUUUUUUGCGGGGGCACGCCAUUUGAUUCAGAUGUUCAACACUCAUCACUCGUCAGCUCGUUCAAUCCAAGUCGGAGGCUUCAUCACAAGAAGAAUCCGCGUAACAGGCUGUCUUUUGAACGGCAAUGCUACACGUACAAACGAUUUACAGGCUUUUACAGGAUGGUUAACCUUGAUUGGUCAAUAGGUGAGCGGGGCGGCCCACCCCCCUGAAAAUCAGGGGGGGAAGGUUUGUGAUUUGUUAGAUGGAAGAAGCGUGUAAAAGCGUGUAAGUCUUUGUAUGUCUAGCAUUUUUGCUUUGGGAAUGCCAAGCGGCGUCUUGCCAGACCCCAGCAGGCACCUGGGGUGCAAGUUGACUCCGCAGGGACUGCACCGGUAGCGCCAGGAGCAGACGGCACUACGGUGCGUGCACUUGGUUAGAUGGGUCAUUGUGAGCAUGACGAGAUGCUCCGGGUGGAGGGGCGAGACAGCCGCGGCUGGCAACUGGGAGCAAACAGGGUGCACGUCGAAGCCGCACGGGCGGCAGCCGUAGUGCAUGCCGUGGAUGAGGGUCUCGCACAGGUCGCAGACGCGACCAUCGUCGGAGGCCACGGCCGGCUCGAACGUCAGCGGGUGCUGCCCGUGGAAAGGAAGGAGCGCGGUCGGCAGGCACGUCGCGCAGAACUCGU